GUCAGUCACAAUAGCUGGACACCAUGAAAACUUGUCUUUUCAUACCAACCACCCAGCAUUAAUAAUAGCAGUUUCCAAAAAGAUCUUUUACUACUGCUAUCAAUAUUUUCUGAAAAAAUUCUUUAGUCCAUUCAGUUCGGUUGUCUCGGUCUCGGUCUCUCCCUCUCCUGAUGAACACGACUUGGAUUCGUCCCCAAUAGGAAUGAAAUGAAACCCGAUUUACUGGAAAUAUGCUUUUUUGCUUUGGAUGUGUCUGAUGGUCGCCCCUGUAAUCGAUUUAUCGUGAUCUAUAUUUUUUCAUUUUGUUAUCAUUGUUCUCGAUUCCCCCAUUAUUUCCAGAGUGUUAAAACCCAUUGUAAUACCUAACUGAAUAGCUUAUAAUCCUGCAUGUGCCUCCGCCGCAAAUGGAGAUGGUAUUUUGGAAUGAAUAACCAUCUUCAAAGCCACGAUCUCCCCCCACGUCGCAUACUACCAAACCCAAAGCAAAUUUGGAGGAUCUCCUGUUGAAUACUGCAUCAAAGUAGACUUUUGCUCUCAUACUUCUUUCUAUCGGUUUGUGGCCUCUGUCGAUAUUUAGAAUAAACUGAUUCUUGUGAGUCCAGAUUGACCAUAGCCCACAGAAAAACAGGUGACAUUGCUCUUUGGUUCCCUGACUGAAAACCCAGGAUAGUGCCAAAAAAUGUGAUUACUAUCUUCAUCGGAGUUGUGACACCGGGGACAGAGAGUUUCCACUGUAAUUUUUUUAUUCUUGAGAUUAGAUAAAGUAGGGAUAUAAUUCCAGGAGAUUCUCCAAAUUGUAAUUUUAAUUUUUGAGUGAAGCUAUAAAUUCCAUAAUUUUCUAUGGAAGUUUCUAAUCUGGGUCUGUAUAAAAUUAUUACUAGGACUCGAAUUAGUCUCUUGUAAUAGUUUAUAGGCACUUCUGACUGAGAACUCCCUUGACAGUUCCCCUCUCUACACUUGGAAGUCAUCGUAAAUUGUCUCUGCCAAAGGGAUCUGUAGAAUUUUCUUAGCAGUAUCCUCAUUGAAGGUACAAAAAAUUAAACUUGUACUCCAAGUUUUGUUAUCGGCAUCAAUCAAAUCUGAUACUAACUUAAUAUUCUCA